UCCUUCUGUGGCAAUCUUUGUCUUUAUUUAUUGGGCGUAAAGCGAGCGCAGGCGGUUUCUUAAGUCUGAUGUGAAAGCCUUCGGCUCAACCGAAGAAGUGCAUCGGAAACUGGGAAACUUGAGUGCAGAAGAGGACAGUGGAACUCCAUGUGUAGCGGUGAAAUGCGUAGAUAUAUGGAAGAACACCAGUGGCGAAGGCGGCUGUCUGGUCUGUAACUGACGCUGAGGCUCGAAAGCAUGGGUAGCAAACAGG
rnacentral:rRNA from 1 species